rnacentral:rRNA from 1 species
GACGGACACUGGCGGCGUGCUUAACACAUGCAAGUCGAACGGAAAGGCCCAGCUUGCUGGGUGCUCGAGUGGCGAACGGGUGAGUAACACGUGGGUGAUCUGCCCCUAACUUCGGGAUAAGCUUGGGAAACUGGGUCUAAUACCGGAUAGGACAAUCGUUUAGUGUCGGUUGUGGAAAGUUUUUUCGGUUAGGGAUGAGCCCGCGGCCUAUCAGCUUGUUGGUGGGGUAAUGGCCUACCAAGGCGUCGACGGGUAGCCGGCCUGAGAGGGUGGACGGCGACAUUGGGACUGAGAUACGGCCCAGACUCCUACGGGAGGCAGCAGUGGGGAAUAUUGCACAAUGGGCGCAAGCCUGAUGCAGCGACGCCGCGUGGGGGAUGACGGCCUUCGGGUUGUAAACCUCUUUCGACAGGGACGAAGCUUUGGUGACGGUACCUGUAUAAGAAGCACCGGCUAACUACGUG